rnacentral:rRNA from 1 species
UACGUAGGGCGCAAGCGUUGUCCGGAAUUAUUGGGCGUAAAGGGCGCGUAGGCGGCGCGGUAAGUCACUUGUGAAAUCUCUGAGCUUAACUCAGAACGGCCAAGUGAUACUGCAGUGCUAGAGUGUGGAAGGGGCAAUCGGAAUUCUUGGUGUAGCGGUGAAAUGCGCAGAUAUCAGGAGGAACACCGGUGGCGAAGGCGGAUCUCUGGGCCAUUACUGACGCUGAGGAGCGAAAGCGUGGGGAGCGAACAGG